CAAUUACAUAAUCAAGGCCAGGAGCCAGAAUGGCAUGACAUUCAGUAUUUUUGACACAUUCCCACAUUAUCAAUACUAUUUCUGGAAGGUUUCUAUAGCUCUUAGGGAUUUUCCUUGGCAAGGGUGCUUGCUUUUCCCAGGAAGAUUCCUUGCUGCCUUUGGCACUCGAUCUGUCUCACCGGCUCCAGCGUAUUCCUUUCUGUCUUUUUUUUGUGUGCUUUCCACUGUCUCUCUUCAAUCUAACCCUUUUUAGAUUGUUCUUGUCAUUUCUGUUCCUCCUGUCUUUGAAUUACCCUGCCUACUAUGACUUCCUUCAUAUUUUAGUCUCUUCCAGAUUCUCUGUUCCCUUUGCCCAAAGCCAGCCCUUGAAGAUAUUUCACAGUACAGCACUGCAGUGCUCUAAGGUUUUGUUGGUUUCUUUCUGAACACAGAAGCAUAAAAAGUGCAUGUAAACACUGGCUAGUAAGUAAAUCUUUGAGAUUGAUGCUAUUUCCUCCUCUUCCGCAGUGUUACAUUUGGAGCGGGGUUUGUCUCAACAUUAUCUUCUAUUAUUAUUAUUAUAGUAGGGAGCGAUAUCUAAUAUCCUAUCUAAAGUAACUGUGGAUGUUUUCAUUAUCAUUAUAAUCAUCAUAAUCAUUAUUAAUUCCUUCUAAUCUCUUGGCCUGGAUAGCAUCUUGUAGCAAUGAGUACCACAAUUUAAUUUAUGUGUUUCAAAAGUAUAUUAUUUUAUCAAUUUAAAUGUGCUGGCCUUUUAUUUUCAUUGACUAUAAAUUUUGUAAACAAGUUACUCAUUUUUCAUUGAAUUGGGGCUUUAAUGAAUACUCAAGCCACAUGUGUAAGCAGUGUCAGGAUAUGCUCUACACUGACAUCUUGUGGAAAGAAUUUCAGAGAGUAUAUUUGCAUAGGCACGCCUACCCUAUCCCAGACUGCUGAGUGGUGGGACUGCUUGGUGACAAAUGACUCACCCUCAGUUGGGUGGUACUUGCUAGACAAGGGACAUGGGUUCAAAAACCCAGAGAAUUGAGAGAGGCUGGGGACAGGUAUCUGUGCCUGGUUGUGCAGUCUCCUUGUGGAGCCAGAAGCACCAGUUGUACCCCCUCCUCUCUCCACUGUGGAAUAUCAGAGUUGAUUUUUUUUAUUCCCUCAAGAAUCUAGAUACAGGUUACUGAGCUGAAAUCACUUUGGCUAAUGGUGCACUAGCACUCGGGCUCCCCUACCAUGAGCUGGAAUCACUAAAGAGCUGAAAUUAUUGA
rnacentral:lncRNA from 1 species